UUCAGAGGUCCCGAGCGUUGUUCGGAUUUACUGGGCGUAAAGGGAGCGUAGGCGGUUCGGUAUGUCGAAUGUGAAAGCCCACAACUCAACUGUGGAAAUGCAUUCGAAACUGCCGGGCUAGAGUACUGGAGAGGAGAGCGGAAUUCUUGGUGUAGCGGUGAAAUGCGUAGAGAUGUGGAGGAACACCAGUGGCGAAGGCGACUCUCUGGUCUGUAACUGACGCUGAGGUGCGAAAGCGUGGGUAGCAAACAGGAUUAGAUA
rnacentral:rRNA from 1 species